GUGGGGAAUUUUGGACAAUGGGCGAAAGCCUGAUCCAGCCAUGCCGCGUGUGUGAAGAAGGUCUUCGGAUUGUAAAGCACUUUAAGUUGGGAGGAAGGGCAGUAAGUUAAUACCUUGCUGUUUUGACGUUACCGACAGAAUAAGCACCGGCUAACUUCGUGCCAGCAGCCGCGGUAAUACGAAGGGUGCAAGCGUUAAUCGGAAUUACUGGGCGUAAAGCGCGCGUAGGUGGUUUUGUAAGUUGGAGGUGAAAUCCCCGGGCUCAACCUGGGAACUGCCUCCAAAACUGCAUGACUAGAGUACGGUAGAGGGUAGUGGAAUUUCCUGUGUAGCGGUGAAAUGCGUAGAUAUAGGAAGGAACACCAGUGGCGAAGGCGACUACCUGGACUGAUACUGACACUGAGGUGCGAAAGCGUGGGGAGCAAACAGGAUUAGAAACCCUAGUAGUCC
rnacentral:rRNA from 1 species